UACGAAGGGUGCAAGCGUUACUCGGAAUUACUGGGCGUAAAGCGUGCGUAGGUGGUUCGUUAAGUCUGAUGUGAAAGCCCUGGGCUUAACCUGGGAAUGGCAUUGGAUACUGGCGACCUAGAGUGCGGUAGAGGGGUGUGGAAUUCCCGGUGUAGCAGUGAAAUGCGUAGAGAUCGGGAGGAACAUCUGUGGCGAAGGCGACUCGCCGAGCCAGCACUGACACUGAGGCACGAAAGCGUGGGGAGCAAACCGG
rnacentral:rRNA from 1 species